GACAGGGGGUGCAAACGUUGCUCGGAAUCACUGGGCGUAAAGGGCGUGUAGGCGGGUAGGAAAGUCAGAUGUGAAAUCCCUGGGCUCAACCCAGGAACUGCAUUUGAAACUCCCUUUCUUGAGUGUCGGAGAGGAAAGUGGAAUUCCUGGUGUAGAGGUGAAAUUCGUAGAUAUUCGCAAGAACACCAGUGGCGAAGGCGGCUCACUGGCCCGAUACUGACGCUGAGGCACGAAAGCGUGGGGAGCAAACAGG
rnacentral:rRNA from 1 species